GUUUUGUACCUCAUAUGUUCACAGGGUGGUGCCCAGUGCCCAGUGCCCAGCACAGUGUCUGACUCACUAGUAACCAGAUAAAGACUUACAGGAACCCUGCAACCUGAUAACUCAACACUGGUACAUGAAACCAGGAAAACAAUCCAGAAAGGCAGACAAGACUCCCAUUUUGAGAUGUCUUAGGAUCCAGAGUUACACUGUUCAGUACAAUUGUCACUAGCCACAAGAGACCAUUCAAAUUUAAAUUCACUAAAUUAAGAAGAAUGGUAGAAUCUGUUUUUCAACGAUGUCAGUCUUAUUGCCAGUGCUCAGUGGUCACACUGGUUGUAGCUUUCUAGUUCCCAUCAUCAAAGCUAGUUCCAAAGGGAGAGGUUUUUGUUUCUGAUAAUUAUGGUGAGCUUUAUCUAUUCCUAUACCCUUGUGAGAGCACUGGGAUUCACUGUUUCUGUAACAGUGACUUGGAACUCAUAUAGCUUGGUCAAUGACAAGUCUGGUAUUGAAUCCAAUUACUCUGAUGCCACAGAUUGUUGUGGAUUAAUGGGAUGUGGACAUACUACGGAUUUCCUUACAACGUACCAGGGUAGGAAACAAACAACCAAAACAUCAAAGUUCUCUUUUGGCUUCCUGUGUGAAUACAGUCAAUUAUGAAGACAGAAUGGAAGCACCAGUGUGGAUAUUUCUACUGCAGUGGCAUCUUGCUUUGCCAGGUGGUGGCUACACCCUAUGAGCCUGGCUUCAGGUGUGCAGAAGUGACCCCUUAUAAAGUAGAGGAGAGGCUGGCUUGCUCUCUUGGCUUGUGGUAAGAUCAUCGGAAGGGCAGAGACUGCAUCUUCUGUAGCAGGAAGACCUCAGCGGUUAUUUAUUAUCAUUUGUGACAAAAAGAAGUACUCUAGCCUACUCUCUCAUCUUGUAGUGGUCUACAG
rnacentral:lncRNA from 1 species